rnacentral:rRNA from 1 species
GACGAACGCUGGCGGCGUGCCUAAUACAUGCAAGUUGAGCGCUGAAGGUUGGUACUUGUACCAACUGGAUGAGCAGCGAACGGGUGAGUAACGCGUGGGGAGUCUGCCUUUGAGCGGGGGACAACAUUUGGAAACGAAUGCUAAUACCGCAUAAAAACUUUAAACACAAGUUUUAAGUUUGAAAGAUGCAAUUGCAUCACUCAAAGAUGAUCCCGCGUUGUAUUAGCUAGUUGGUGAGGUAAAGGCUCACCAAGGCGAUGAUACAUAGCCGACCUGAGAGGGUGAUCGGCCACAUUGGGACUGAGACACGGCCCAAACUCCUACGGGGGGCAGCAGUAGGGAAUCUUCGGCAAUGGACGAAAGUCUGACCGAGCAACGCCGCGUGAGUGAAGAAGGUUUUCGGAUCGUAAAACUCUGUUGGUAGAGAAGAACGUUGGUGAGAGUGGAAAGCUCAUCAAGUGACGGUAACUACCCAGAAAGGGACGGCUAACUACGUG